rnacentral:lncRNA from 1 species
CCCUCUUCUGUAAUUAUGCAGGAGUACAGUUGUACACAAGUAUGGAGACAAUGGGUGCUCACAACUGAUGCAGUGCAGGGGGGCGGUGGGCGUAAACACAUGUGCAUGUUUUCUUUCUCUUUAUUCCCUGAAUAAGAUGCGCACAAUGAAAACUAUUCUCUGGCUUCACGAUUGAAUGAAUUCAAAAGAGUUGACAGUAGCACACACUGUUUUGUAUUCAAAUGGCUCUUUGUGCGCAUUUUUAUCAAGAAUAAGAUUUGAAUGAUAGCAUGCUUUAUGUUCUUCUCCAAACAUAUAGUAGUUACAAAAUAUUUUAGAGCACAUGUGGCGUUGUUACCAUGUGCUUGAGUCAAAAAGUAUUUCUAACUGCUCCAUGAAAGGGGGUGUGGCACUCUGCAAGCCCAUGGGCCACUCUCUCUCUCUGCUUUGAUGGAGGGGUUACAUAACAUAUCCCACCAUCCAGCCAAUAGGUAGCCCAACUCUGAUACAAUCAUCUCACUGAGCUGUCGUGCACGUGCAUGUGUGUUGGGGGGGGGGACGUGUAUGUGUGUCUGCCUCUCCACGCCCCCCAUCUUUCAUCCCAGUCCUCCCAUAGGUUCGGUUCAAAGCACGCACCAAAAUGCCCAGCAAGAGGAAGAAGAACAAGCGUCGCAUGAGGAGGGUGCAGGCCCAGAGGAGAGCCCUCGAAGAGCAGCAUGCAUCCAACCCACCAGUCAAGGCAACCCCCGGGAUUGCAGUGAGUGCGCCCCCUGGAGCAACCCCAAAGAAAGCGACUAAAACUCCAGCACCAAAAAAGAUUCCAGCGGCCGUUCCCAUUGCCGUCCCCAUUGUGGAGACUCCAAAAGUAGAACUAAAACCAGUUGUGAAAGAACCUGUCGCAGUGCCUGUCCCAGUCAGAGUAGAGGCACCAGAACCAGAGCCUGUAGUGUUGGAACAGACACCAGCAGAAGUCAAGGUUGAAGUCCCAGCCCCGGUCACUGAAGCAGCACCAGUCGUUGAGUCUCCACCAGUGGAGUCCACUGUAGUUGAAGCUGAGAUAGUACAGGAGGCUGAACCUAUCAUUCCUGAAACAGAACCAGUACCUGAGGUCAUACCCCCAGCUGAGGCUCCAGUGGAGGCUCCUGCUGGGACUGAGAUUCAGACAGAGGAGACCUUAAUCAUAACCACAGAGACUGAACAGACGCAUAAUGUCUGCGAGCCAGAGACUGAAUUGGAGGCUGAGGCUGCGGCAGAGGAAGACACAGCCGUUGAGGCUGAGGUGGAGAUGGCCGUCACAGAAGCCAUUGAAGAACCAGUGGUAGAAGCACAGACUAGCGACCAGGUUUCCGCUGAAGCAGAACCUGCUGCAGAUGAAGACGCAGAUGCUGCAGUUGAUGCAGAUGUUGCAGACACUGUAGAUGCUGCAGUUGAUGCAGAUGAUGCAGAUACUGUAGAUGCUGCAGUUGAUGCAGAUACUGUGGAUGCUGCAGUUGAUGCAGAUGUUGCAGAUACUGUAGAUGCUGCAGUUGAUGCAGAUGCUGCAGAUGAGGUGGUUGCAGAAACAGCAGUGGAAUCAGUGGAGAAGGCUGCAGAUGAGGUGGUUGCAGAAACAGCAGUGGAAUCAGUGGAGAAGGCUGCAGAUGAGGCAGUUGCAGAAACAGCGGUGGAAUCAGUGGAGAAGGCUGCAGAUGAAGUGGUUACGGAAGCAGCAGUGGAAUCAGUGGCGGAGGCUGCAGAUGAAGUGGUUACGGAAGCAGCAGUGGAAUCAGUGGCGGAGGCUGCAGAUGAGGUGGUUGCAGAAGCAGUGGUGGAAUCCGUGGAGAAGGCUGCAGAUGAGGUGGUUAUGGAAACAGUGGUGGAAUCAGUGGUGGAGGUUGUCACAGAGGUACCUGAGCCAGAACAGGUGACUGAACCCAUUGUCAGUCCUGCAUCCCCGGAAGAGGAUGACGCUGAAGUAGAAGUGUUGGCUGAAGAGGCGACUGAAGUCCCAGCUGAGCCUGUUACAAUGACAGAGGAUGCUCAAGUCCAAUCUGUGGAAAUCCCAGAGGUGCCAGUCGCCGUCCCUGAGGCUCCGGUUGUAGAGAAUAGUAUAGAAGUCCCUGUAACUGAAGUCAAAGAGGCUCCUGCCACCCUGGAGACUGCCGACAGCCUAGUCGAUGACUUUGUUGUCACAGAAUCUGCCUCUGCAGUGGAGGUUGCCAUUGCUGAGUCUGCUGCUGUCAAGCCGGAAAUUGUUGAAAUUAGUGACACCAUCAACAGCCAAUCAGAAUCUAUGGAUGUGACACCCGCUGAGUCUGAGCCUGCCCCUGUCCCUGCUCCUGUCCCUGUCCCUGCAGAGGAAAUUGUCAUUGAUGCCACUGCUGAGCAGAAAUGUCUGGAUGUGCUGUCAGAAGAGCCUAAGUCAGAAAUCUGUGACAUGCCGUGUCAGAUGCAGCUUGCUGUGGAGUCUGUGGAGAUGUCAGUGGAGGCAUCGCUGAAUGGACACAUUGUUCCAGAGGUCUCCAUUGAGGGCUAGAUGCAUAUCACACAGCUUGGAAGACCUUUUCUAUUCCCCUUUGGUCAUUUGGAGGACUCAAAGCUUUACAGGGAGUCAACCAGCUGGCAUUUUAAAUUUUUUAGGGCUUAUGACAGAACCGCCAGGAAAUUGAAGGGACAUCCACACUUUGAAGUGCCUUUUCCGGCCGUUGUUCCUGUCAAAACACCAAACCAGAUGUCAACACACCAAAACUGAUGCAUUCAAGGCAGCACAACAGACUGUUGUCAUACGUGUGUGGAAAUGGAAACAAACAUAUUGUUGCUCUUUUUUUUGUGUUUCUCCCACAAAGCACAUACAGUGAAUUUGCAUUAGCAGUGGAAGUGGAAGUGCUCAAGAGAUGGAGGUUCCUAAAACAAGAUAAAUGGCAGCGCCUGAUAUUUCUUGGCAUGUUCCCAUCUCUCCAGAACAUCUGCUUCCAUGCUGCAUACACUCAGUGCAUGUGAAUUCUGUAGCACUGAUACAUUUUGCUAUAGUUUGUACUUGAGUCUAUGUUCAUAUGAGUGGGAGGGACAACAUUUCAGAAUCACAGAUUUUGCGCACCAGACCAUUUUUACUCUCAAAGAGACACGUCUGCUAACUUCCACCUUCGCCUUAAUUUCUGUCCCCUUCUCUGUCCUCCAGUUCUCCUCUCUGCCUCAACUAUGUGUCAAUUCUAAGGUUAGUGUGAUGCUAAAACACGGUUCUGGAUUUUAUGGCUGCUGCAGCCUGGAGUUUGAGGGGACAAACUGAGAGGUCAUUUUCCGUUUCUUUUUUUCUCACUUUCUCCUUUUUUAAAUCCAUUUUGUAUAGACCAUAUGAUGUGUUACAGUUUUGUGUUCAAAGCCUGUGCUCUGGAGGGAAAAUGUAAUGUGAUCUGUUCAUGUGGAUCUCUGUUGGGCUGAUUUGAUCCACCUUUGAAAUAAAGCUGUAUCUCAUCGUGAUAAAGGAGUGAUUCUUUUACUUUCUAUGCACCGAGCUCAUGAAAUACACAGAAUGGAGGAGCGAUACUGUAUAUGUGGGCUUCAUUUCCAGUUCCGAUCUGUACUGGCAAUAACAAAAGCUUUUGAUAGCUUUCAAAGAUGCAACAUUUGAAAAAAAAUGUAUUUUCAACUUUGUUUUCUGGCACACGGGAAAUUAGUAAAAUUAAGUUUUGAUCACUAAGAAAUAAUUGUAGCUAAAGGAGGCAAAGAAUAAGCUGACAAAUUGACUAUUAAAAGGUUAAAAAAAAAAAGCCAAAAAAAGGCUUUGACUAUGACAUUUUGCAGUGUUUGCACCCAAGCCUUUUGUUAACCCUGAAGAUUGUCUAAAAGGUCAUGCAUACUUUUAUUUUGACGUUUUGGUACUGGGCUGGGUACAAAAUUACUCUCAACCCUUUACCAUAGAGUAAACUUAAUAGUAAUGUUUUAGACCAUGGAUUAUACUUUUAACUCCAAAAGUGGUAUUAGCAUUUGCUUGGCUAUAUUUUUAAAAACAAACAAUAUUUAAUAAGUAGUUUUAUUCAAAUAAUUAACACUUAGUAGUCACAAUAAAGUCAUACAUGAAGAUGAUUAAAGCUGGAACUAGAAUGAAAUUUAAAAAAAAUCAUAUUCAGUACCAAAGCACACUGAUUGUGAGGUUUCUACCGUCGAAAAAGCAGCAGGUUGUGAAAGUCACUGUGAAUCUUCAAAAUAAAGACAACAAAACAGAUCAAAAGAUUUUUAAUUAUUUGUUUUUGCACAGAAAUCUACAUUCAUAUUAGUAUGAUGUAAUUUGGUACAGUAAACACUGCCGAUGUGUGGUUUUGCAAUCCUCCCUCUUUAUACUAUGAUCAUACUGUCAAAGAGAGUUUUUUUAUUUUUUUAACUUAAGUUUACUGGCCCCUCGCAUUGGAAUUUUAACAAAAUGUCAAAAUGCAAAACAGAAGGAACAACUUCAAUUCUGCCUUAAGAGGAAAAAAGAAACAAAAAGUAACAACAAAAAGACAGACUGAAGAGACAAAUGAUAAACACAUACUGCUUAAUAACAAAGAGGAUAUAUAUUUGUAAAAGCACAUUCGUAUUAAUAGUAGAUGCUUUGGAAUGAAAACAGCAACAAAGAGGCUCACUGUGAUCAGACAACUGUCCAACUUGCACUCAGCACAUUCUUAUAUAUUAUCUGAAUUUUUUUCACUUGUGGCAUUAAUAUGCAUGAGCACAUGUCAUUAUAACCCCAACCCUCCCAAAAACAUAAUAAAUAAGAAAACAGGUGAUUUGAUUGGUCCAUGAGGUAAAAUGUGAAAUAAAAAACUGAGCAAAACAAAUGAGCAAAAAAGUUGGAAAGAUUUUUGAAAAGACAAACAUCCACACAAACAAAACAAAACAAAACAAAAAGUGUGGGAGAGGCUGAAAAAAUGAAAUUAAGAAAGAAAGGAUUGUGAUCGCAGACAAGAAAGCAUGAUGUCCAACAAGGUUAUCUUCCCCCAAGAAAGAAGCACACACACUUACACACACACUCAUACAACCAUUCACGCAGUCAAACCUGAAGCUCAAUAACAAAUCAACUUCCAAAGCUGUAAUCUUAACAAAGCCACUUGAUGGAUGAUAAUAUUUCUAUAUUUACACUGAAGUGAUGAUUAACUGACAAAAAACGCUCAGAACGAACCCAGAAAAUACAAGAAACAGUAAAACCAAUAGUAACCAGAUUAAAUCACCAUAUUCUCUUUUCAUUCCUUCACUUUUUGAUCUCCUCCUAUGCACUGACAAAACAAAAGUCCACUGAAGUAGUGUGCAGGACGUGGGUGGGGAUUACAGAGACAAAGAGAGGGGUUAAUAAUGACAGUGAUGAUGGAGAUGCUCAAAAGCAAUGAGCAGUGUGAACGCUUGGAGGACAUGUAGCCCGCCACUCAGCGCAAUCAGGCAAGUAGACUCUUCUCUGUCUCUGCUACAAGGGAAAGAGCACUUCAUUAAAAGAGCCCCCUGCCCAUUUUGGACUACCCUGGUUUGAAAUCAAGCACACCUAGCUCCAGUUGUUUAGAGGUUUGGUGUGGGAGAGCAUGCAGUUAGCUACACAGUAUAGCCUGAGUGGUUGGAAUUAAAAGAGCACUUCAAAAAAACAACAACAGACGGCCAGCUUGGGUUUAUAUGGGGGGUCCAAAACAAGUUCUGUUCCUUCGUCAGAAGUCAGAAGUUUAGGAUGCAGGUUUUAACAUCAAUCUGAGGAGUGUAUGUAGCAGUAACUGUAAUGGUAGAAGCAGCACUAGUAGUGUUCAGCAGGCAAUAUCCUUGUCUUUCUGGAGAGGAAAUGGCUCAAGAGCAAACCCAACCAAAGUGUUGACCCCCAAAAGGUGCAGCAGUAGCACUUCAAAGAAUUAACGGGUAUCAUCAACAUAUCUACCUUGUUUCAGAAUCCUGGGGAGGUUUUAAUCCUGCUUCUGCAUUAGAGGCGGGAUGGGAGUUUUUUUUGUUCUUGUCCAUUGGUCGCUGUGGCUGGUAUGUUCCAAGAUUCAUCAGCAAUGUUUGUUUAUUUUUGAGGCAACUAAGCUUAAAGGUUUAACAUUCAAUUGAUGUUUUGCAAACUUCAAUGGUGGCUGG